rnacentral:rRNA from 1 species
UACGGAGGGUGCGAGCGUUGUCCGGAAUCACUGGGCGUAAAGGGCGCGUAGGCGGUCUGCUAAGCGUGCGGUGAAAGCCUGGGGCUCAACCCCAGGUCUGCCGUGCGAACUGGUGGACUAGAGCACUGUAGAGGCAGGUGGAAUUCCGGGUGUAGCGGUGGAAUGCGUAGAGAUCCGGAAGAACACCGGUGGCGAAGGCGGCCUGCUGGGCAGUUGCUGACGCUGAGAAGCGAAAGCAUGGGGAGCGAACAGG